CUUUUGUGUAAUUCUUUGUUGUUCUUAGUUGGCUUGAAGUGUUAUUUUAUUUUAAUAUUAUAAUUUGCAUGUCUAUUAAAGUCUAAAAAGGCAAAAAAAGUGAUUGAAGUGGCUGAAGAUGCUACGAGAAAUGAAACUAGUCCAUGUGAAUAUGAUAGGACAAACAAGGUGAGGGGAACAAACAUUUGUAAGAAUGUUUUGCGAUUAAGACCUGGAGAAAAGUUAAAAGUCACUUUCUAUCAAAAUCGAGCUGUUGGGCCGAAUUACACCUCAUUUACGAGACACUUGGGUUUGAUAGUUCGUGAUCGUAAUAUGUGCCCAUUACGGGUACACUCAUGGAUGGAUAUUGAAGAGCAUAAAAUUGAGCAUAUGUGGGCAGCUGUUACAGAGUAGACAAGAGUGAUUGGGAAUGGUUGGUCAAGGAACAUUUUUUAUCUGAUAAGUUUAAGAGAUCAAGUACAAGAAACACAAUCAACAGGUCUAAGUUGUGUAUGCGUCAUCGUACGGGUAGCAAGCCUAUAAGAGAGAU